rnacentral:rRNA from 1 species
GUUGAACGCUGGCGGCAUGCCUUACACAUGCAAGUCGAACGGAAACGGGCCGUCCUUUGCCGACGGGUGGCGGACGGGGGAGUGAUACAACCACACGUGCCCGAUCGCUGUAGAUAACGGGUCAAAAGCGGUGCUCAGACCUCAUACGGGCUACGAUUUAGAACCGCGGGGCUCAAGACUGUACGAGGGCGUAGCGGCCGCUUGCAGAUUAGGUAGUUGGUGGGGUAAAAGCUUACCAAGCCGACGAUCCGUAGCGGGUCUGAGAGGAUGAUCAGCCACACUGGGACUGAGACACGGCCCAGACUCCUACGGGAGGCAGCAGUGGGGAAUUUUGCACAAUGGGCGAAAGCUUGACCCAGCCAUGCCGCGUGAAGGAUGAAGGUCUUCGGGUCGUAAACUGCUUUUAUUAGGAAAGAAAAGACUUCUUUUAAUCCAGGCGCGUCAUGACGGUACCGAAAGAAUAAGCACCGGCUAACUACGUG